rnacentral:lncRNA from 1 species
UAUAAUCUAAACAUACAAAUUUAAUCAAAAAUGUAAUAGCACCUGAGUUUUGUGAUGAUGAAGUGUCAUAAGAACUGAGAAGAAGAAGAGCUAACAAAGGAAGAAGAAAAGGGGGAUGAGGGCGACUACUACUAUGUAAAAGAGAAAGGAGAUAAGAGAAAGAGUGAGAAAUGUUUGAAAGUAAAAAGUAAAAGUAAAUUCCUGUAAGUUAAAACUCCAAACUAUUCACAUGAUUCACAUUCUUAACAAACCAAUUUUGAAUUUUAAUUUUUAUAAAAACAUUUUGAAAGAUAUUAAAAUUCGGUUUUCCUAAAACGAAAUUUUAAACCUAUUAAAAACUGUGAUAUAUUAGUAAAUAUAUAACAAACAAUAUGCUAUAUGUGAAAUUAAAUAAGU